AUGUGUGCGUGUGUGUGUGCUCUGUCAUUUCAGUCAUAUCCAAUUCAAACAUGUGUCAGGAAUCGAAGCUGCAUCUCACCUGCACUGGCAGGCAGAUUCUUUACCCACUGUGCCACCUGGAAAGUCCCAUAUAAUCAAGAUAUUCUCCCUAUUUUAAAGUCAGAUGAUUUAGCAAGCUUUAUUUUAUCUACCACCUCUUUGCCAUGGGAAGUCACAUAUUCACAGGUUCUAGGGAUUAGGAUAUGUACAUCUUUGAAGGACUAUUAUUUUGCCACCACAUUUUCCAUGGCUGUUUUCUUUUGCUUAUGCUAGAUUUUGUCUUAUCUGGACCUCAGUCUCUGAUUUCCACAAAGCAAGUAUAGGUAUGAAAAACAGUUAUGAAUGUUUAGAGUGACAGUUUACACAAAUAAAGCUAAACUAUAUGAUAUAGAAUUUCUUUGUCUUAGCAAAGUAACAUCAUGCCAGCUGGGAAAUAUUAUUAUUAUUUUUUUAAACUCAUAAGGGAGCAAAAGGAUAUUCUUGCUUCUUUAAAAAUUUGGUAAUGGGAACUUGUGGAGAAAUCAUGAGAAAAAGUUUAGUCUCAUAUGGCUAUCAUUUUGAACAAACAAUGCUGGAAACUGGGGACUAUAUGCGUCUAUCCUGAAGAGAAAAUGGGGACCACAGCACCCAUGACAAGUUGGCAGGUUCCUUGUCACAUGGAUGGGAAUGGGAACUAGCCUUUUAUGGAAUAUUCUAUAGAAUUUUGAAAUUGCAACAAUACAAAGAAAACUUCUCUUGGUUUUAAUGCUCAUUUAAGAAUAAGUCUAAGUCAUGGUUGUCGAAAUGCUGAUGUUAUUUUGAUAACAACCACCCCCAAAGUGGCCUAGAGAUAAAUGUGAUACACUACUAGAUUAUACUUCAAAUAAUGAUAUCCCCUAAACCAUAAUUUUGUUCUUUAGUGAUAGGAUAUAAUUUUUAGAGAUAUACAUUGGGACCAAAACCCAAGGUAUAAAUGAUUAUUAGUCAAACAGUCAUGCCUCUCCCAGGCAUGCAUGUGUGCUAAGUAGCUUCAGUCAUGUCCAACUCUUUGCGAUCCUAUGGACUGUAGCCCAUCAGGCUUCUCUGUCCAAGGAAUUCUCCAAGCAAGUGGAGCGGGGUGCCAUGCCCUCCUCCAGGGGAUCUUCCCAACCCUCGGAUUGAACCUGGGUUUCUUAGGUCUCUUGCUUUGGCAGGUGGGUUCUUUACCGAUAGUGCCACUUGGGAAGCCUGCUGAUCCCAUACCCUGUUGCUAAUAAUUGUCUUCUUGUAGGAGAGGAAAAGACUCAGUUUGUGGCCAUGAGAACCCAAUUAUUUCAUCUAUCUCUUUUCUUCCUAUCUUGAGUGAUAUCUAAUAAGGACCAGAUCAUAGAGAUCUUCUUCCUACUUUAAGGCUAAGUAAUCUUCUGAAAAUUGAAAUGGGAAAGAUGAGAAGGGAUGAGGGCCUUCAUGAUAUCACUGAGCCACUGGACCAAGACUGGAACUACAUUAAGUUGACUCCUUGGUUGACUUGAGAGAAUCAAUGGCUUUAUUGUUCCACCUACUUUUAUUUCAUAUUCUGAAGCUGCUGCCAGCAUAUAAUAAGGGUUGGGGAGUUCUACUUAAAACAACCAAAACCAUAAGAAUUUGAAAUGUAGAAAAUUUGAAAAUCCAAAAGAAGCUCUUAGCUCACACUGCCAUAAUAAAAUACCGCAGACUAGGUGACUUAAAGAACAGAAAUUUGUUUCUUACACUUGCAGAGCCUCAGGAAUUCAAGAUCAAGGUGCUGACAGAUUUGGUUUCUUGUGAGAGCUUACUUCCUGGUUUGCAGAUGUCAGACUUCUGACUGUGCACUGACAUGGCCUUACCUCUGUGUGCAGACACCUGGAGCAAGAGCAAGCUUUCUGGUAUUGCUUUUUAUAAGGACAGUAAACCUAUAGGAUCAGGGCCCUAUUCUUAUGACCUCAUUUAAUGUUAAUUAUCUCCUUAAAGGCCCUAUCUUUAAAUACAGUCACAUUGAAGAUUAGGAUGUCAAUGUAUGAAUUUUGGGAAGACACAAAUCUUCAAUCCACAGCAUAAGCUAAAUAUACAAAUGUAUUCAACAUAUUAUAUAAAAUAUAAUUAUAUAUAUA
rnacentral:lncRNA from 1 species